AUAGGGUGGAAUAACCUAAAGUUCACACUUGUCAUCUCACCUCCAUCUCAUAGGCUUUCCCUCUGUGCCUGGGAUGUACCUCCUCUGUAGCAGUCCACUCCUAACUAGGGGCAAGGGGAAAACAGUAUGUGCAGAUUGCUCAGUCUUGGGCAUGCUCAGUAGUGCUCAUGGCUGGGAAGGCCUAUGACCCUUGACCCCAGCUUCUCCCAGGUUAGGCGGGAAAACAGGUUUCUUUGUUCUCACCUGGUUAAGAGAAACCACACCUACGCCUUGUCAUUAACCAAUGAGAAUCAUCCCUAUGUACUGUGUAUAUUUGCAUAUCAAAAACUAUAUCUAGCCCAGCAGGCUCCGCCUUCGCUCUCUCUGCUCUCUGCCCUCUGCCCUCUGCUCUCUGCGCUCCUUCUCUUUCAGGCUACCUGAUGGCUGUCCUUGCAGGAGCUUGGCCUCUGGCCAAGCUCCAUCUUUAAUCUUUCUCUAUUCACCUCUCUGACCUGCGUGGAAUGGAUCUCAGGACUGGAAUAGCCUACUGAAUUGGUCCUUUGAUCAGAGCUUAGCUGUGGCUCAUUGAUAAUUAAUAAAGACUCAUUCUGAACACCUCAUAUCUCUACUAGGACUCCGUCACUUCCCUCGUGGUAUCAAAACUUCUAUCCUGUCUCUAUCUUCCUACCUUGUGGCUUCUCUCACCUCAGAGAGAGCUACAGAUGGCGCCCAACUUUCUCGUGGCAUUCCACUCUUUUAUUUCACACAGCGAAUGGCAGAACGCGUUCGAGGACACGAGGCUAAUAGUAGGCGGGUGCCGGAAGUCCAGGAAGGUUGCCGAUCCUCUGGCCAAGGACGGUAAGUCCUCCUCUGCUUGAGGUGGGUCUCCCCUCUGAACCCUGCUCGACUCUUAAUGUCGUAGCUUGAUAGGGGAGAAAUGGAAGUCUCAAGAGCUUAAUUGCCUGAGACGGUGAAUCAGGAUGAGGGAAGCACACGAUCGGUCAGAGAGGGAUUCUUAAACUAUCUCUGUCAGGGAGGUGCAGUUUCCCUCCCCCACCUGGGUCUGCUAGUCGGAGGCCUCCUCUCUCGGACCUGGAUCUCCGGAGGUUAAGAAACACCUGAGGAGUGGUCUGAGGGGGAGGGGAAGAAAAAGGACAUUUGACCCAGGGAAACCCUCACUAGGGGCUAUUGAAAACUUGAGAAAUCAGUCUGAAACAAACAGUUGCUAGAGCCUAGUGAAUUUCAAAAGGAGCAACUGGGAAAAGAAAAAGCAGGAGUUAAAAUUUCAUCAGGAAAGCAAAGUCAAAUUUACCUGCUAUUCAUACGCAAAAGCGGGAAAGGCUAGCUAAGACGCAAGGCAGAAACUGCUGCAGAAUGCUAAGGAGUUCUUUCUUAAGCACUUCUUAUUUCAAAAGUUCUGCAAGCUAAUCUUUACAAGAAACUCCCUGUGCCUUUUCAGGAGAGGUCGGACUCAGAUGCAUUUGAAAGGCCUAUCAGGAAGUGGUUGCUUUCAGGGCAUUUAAAAGAUCAGAAUUACUUGGAAAAAACGGAUAAAAAACAAAAAAUUUUUCUAAUAAAACCGUAGGUCUCAGCACAAUUAAGGAAUCAAGGUAAUAAUCCUGAAUUAGGUUAAAUUCGGAACAGCCUAAGUUGUAAAAAGAUAUUGCCAUUCCGUAACCAAAGGCAGAAGAUUUUUUUUUAAACAAGCAAGCCUCCGAACUCAUUUAGCAUGUGAAAAAGCUCCUAGGAACUCUUUUGUUUGAGGUCCAGCCAGGUAAAGGCAGGCUUUACCUGGGCGAUUGCAAAUACAGUAAAGUAAGAUUUGGGAAUUUGAAUUUUAAUUUAGGUUGGCUGUAGGCAACAUUAUAAAGGAAUGUCUGCUUAUAUUUUUUGAUAAAGGAAGUUAAAAAAGGAGAAUCAAAUAUCUUUCUCUGACUUUUGUUAUAUGCCACAGAAUAUCAGGACUAGAAAUGUUUUAUCUGUAGAGAAAUUUUGGUAUGAAUCACAAGGUAGUUAAAGUGCACACAGAAAACUUUUAAGGUUUGGGCUUAGAUCUGAAGCAGCUUGAAAUGUUUUCUCUCUACCGGCCACGUGGCUGGAGCCACAUGGAAGAUAGCAUCAGAGCAACUGAGGUUGCAAGUUGUAUCACUAAGGCUGUAAUUGGCUAGAAGGAAAACUUUAAUACUAAGAUAUAAUAAGCAUGAAUUGGAAUAUGAUUUAAAGGAAUUUCUAAGGCUUUCUAAUUUUAACUAUGGAGGAAUUAUUAACACUUUUCUAAGCAGGACAUAAAGCAACAGGAUGAAUCUUGAGCAGAGCUUAUUCAAACAGCCUGUAUGCAGUUCAGAAACUUUUUACUGGGCAUAUUAACAUACCUGUAUCCAGAAAGCAAAUGAUUUAUAACUAAAAUAGCUUUUACUAUGGAAAAUUAAGACACAUGCUCAGCAGAGUAAAAGCAUGGUUAGAAGGAUUCAAUCUGUUUACCAGUGGUUAAUUAUUAAGGUUAUCAGGAACUCUGUUACUCAGUACAGUGAUUUAUUAAGGAUUUGAAAGAGGCAAUACUAUCAGGUAUUAAAAUUGCAGAUAUUGAAGCUGAUCAUGAUAUUGAAAAGAGACCUAUGAUAAUAAUGCAAAUUCAAAGAUUACUGGCAUAAUUUGAUUUAUUUCUGCAGGGAAGAUUUGCAGAAUUAGCAGAUGGAAGUAAUGAUUUUAGUCACAGUAUUAAGAUCUUUUCAGUUAUGAAGCUAAGGGCAGUAGUUCAGAAAUAACAACUUCUGUGCAAUUGUUUGAUAAUUCUGUGCAUAUUUUUACAGCAUAAGACAAUGCUAUAAUUUUAAUAACUGCACAAGGUGGAAAUUUUUCAAAAAGCAAAAAUUGUGUGCAGGCAGACAAAGACCUAAGAUCCCAGCACACAUGGGUCAAUUCAUAAGUAAUUUAUAGAAUGAUAUUUUUAUGAUUAUGGGUUUGAAAAAGCAAAUAUUUAAGCAUCUAUACAUGCUGUUUUGAACACACAGCUGCUGGCAUUCUCUGCUCUAGCAGAGGGCCAGAUCUAUGGUACAUCUAUAUCCUGAACAAGCAGGUGAUAUCGCUUAUCAAUGCAAACUGCUGUGGAUUAAUUUCACCCCUGAUAAAUAUCCACUGUAUAUUUUGGAGCAAAAGGUGCAUUUCAGUUUGCUCCUGGCACAAAGGUUGAACUGGGAAAAGUGAUGGGAGAUACUUACUCUCCUGGUUUAUGGGUUCAAGCUCAAAUGAAGAAGUGAGCAAAGUGAUUGCAGAUUUUAUGAAUAACUGUGCACUACUGUCUAUUCCAAACAGCUUGGAAUAGCAGGGCUUUUAACAGCAAUGCAAAGGCUAAAUUGCAUAGCUCAUGGCUUACAUGCAAGCUAUGGUAAAUAGAGCUCAAAGGAAUUCAUGAGCCCCAAGGUUCAAGCACUGAAGGUAUAUAUGUUCUGUCACUUUCUAACUUUCUAAGACCCAAUGAGGCUUUCAUUUGGGGUCGAGGUCUUGUUUAUAUGUUCACAGAUAAUGAAAACAUCUGGUCACCCACGUCAUGCUUCAUGCCAGCUGAUACAGACCAGGAAGAGAAGCAGACGGAAGGUGAUGGCAUCAGCUAUCUACAUGCCAGCCACAAUCCAGACUCGCUGGAAGGACACUUCUUUGGUGACUAAUAUCACUCUAGAACAAUGACAUUACACUAUUAGAGACAUUGGCUAUUAGGCCACUGAAGGACACUUGUCAUGCUGACAUCCAUUGAGAUGGGGUACCCAGAGCAACAUCAAGUAUGCUAAUGCAGAAGGACUAAAUCACACUUGUGUCUGUACAAGACACCAGAUAUGUCCCACAUUCCAAAGACUUUGCGAUGGGAUUGAGAUGAAAUAGCUACAAAUUGUCUAGCUACUAAAGGAUACCUUGUAUUUUGUAUAUGAUACUGUCAAAAGAAAUGUAUAUUGUAUGCAUUGUAAAGCUACCACUUGUAUUGUAAGAAAUGCUGUUAUCAACAAGGGUAUAGACCUUGGUAUGACUCUCCAAAGAGCAGGAGAUAGAAAACUCUCAUUCAUAGCAUAGAUCUGAUAUCUCUGACAACAAAAAUGAGGUGCUAAGCAAAAAAUGCUGCACAGACAGGUUUAAUGGACAGAUGACACUGAUGUUACUCUCGAGAAAGGAUGAGAGAUCAGGAAAAAGACACUAGGAAAUCUUUAAUCAGGAACUUGAGUUAUUGUAAGAGAUCAUUGACAUCCAGGCAAAGAUUAUGUUCCUGACAUUACAUUAAGGGCUGACUACCAGAGAUGUAGUUAAGUGUUAAUACCAUUGCUAACCAUUACUCCUGAUACCCUGUCUUUGUGGGUAAUAUCUUGAUAGGAAAAAUGUCUUGCUCUCCUCCAACAGUCCCAGAAUUCAGACGGCCGCUGGAUUCGGGAUCUAUUGGCUUCCCUUUCAUAUACUGGAAGACGUUCUGGUAUAUGGAAGUAAGACCUCAUGAAAAACUGAGGGCUCUAGGUUUGACAAUUUCUGUGGACGCGCAGUCAUUGUCUCUCCUAGGUGGAAAAAAUACAAAAACAUGGAGCAAGGGCAAAGUAUAAUCUAAGUUUUACUGUUUUGGAGUAUGGAUUGAAAACAUGACACAAUAGGCACAGAUAAGCGUGCAGAAAAAGCACAUUGAAUAUUAUUCACUGACAACUAGGAAUGAAAAAGCUAUGUCAAAUGCUGUAGGUACAAGAAACUGUAGAAAUUGUUUCUACAUGGGGAACAACUUAAGCUUCUAUUUACCCAAACAUUGGUUUGGUGGAAUGAAUUUUGCAAAUAUUGGUAAUGGUAUAGGCUUGGUUACCAUAUUGAUGGGUUUAUUUAUACAAGCAGAGAUUUAAAAUAAGGAAGACAUUAGGAAUAUGCAGUCAGAACUUGAAAUAUUACUUCAUUAUCACCAUCAUGGUUAUUUAAGUUACAAUUGAGAAUGUAAAAUGGAUGGGAAUAUUGGUAUUUGUUAAAAAUUUGCACUGUGAUUGAUGUAUUGAUGUUUUUGCAAAGCCUGUAAUGGUGCAAAAUUAUGUUCAUAUACAAGGCGAAUUUUGAUCUAUUUAGAUCAGGAAUUGGAAAUCAUUGGGAAAAUAAGUUCUGAUAUUUUACAUUGGCUCAGUUUCAAAGAUACCACAUAGACAGUGAGCCAAGAGAAUCUUGUAUUAAUUUUGGGAUCAGGUUCCCAGGAUCAAUUUUCUGAGAUCAUUUGACAUGUGAUAACAUGAUCCUCCAGAAUUGUUAAGAGAGGAUGUUUUUCUUUGAAGGGAUCUCUCCCAACACACAAACAAAAAGAAAAGGGAGAGGAAUCUUAUAGAGAUCAGUAUUUAUAUUUUUAGAGGAAAAUUUUUAAAGUCACUCUUGAUUGAUCAACCUUGAUUUUUUCUUUUACACUAUUAAGGCCAGAAUUUUUAAGUACAAGGAAGAUACUGUUAAUGCUCUGAUCCAGAAUUAUGAAGGUGCAAAGAUUUCUAGAAUUACAGUCACCUAACAGUCGGUGAACAUGAGAACAUGACAGCAAUUGUUAAUUUUCAGAUGACCAUACUGGAGAGUGAUGUCUGAUUGCAUGUAAGGGGAAUCAUAAUGAAUCUUUCAUUAUGGACCAGACAGCCUCAGCCACGGUUACAUUUUCCAUGUGAAAUGGAUGUUUGAGGUUGGGAAAUGCAGAGACAUGGCGUACUGACACCCUCAGUCGCUGGAUGUCCUGGCAUCGAGCUACCAACCAGUUUUCUAUGUGGCAGGCAUCUGGCAGUGAGCACGGAAAGAUCCCCAAGAUGCAGUAUCAGGACGAGAGAAAAGAAGGACUUAUCCUUCAUCUCCAGGGAUAGUAUUUUGCUAACUGUUGAAAAGGCUGACAACUUCUGAUAGUCCAGACUGUGAAUGGUGGCAUGUUUGGUUGUUGCACCUGUCAUGUGAGCCAUAGAGUUCUACCUCAUUAGACCAGGAUCAGUAGCGUGGAAAUUAUUUUCUUAACAUUUUUAUAUCUACUAAGACUGUUGCAUUGAUCUUGAAAUGCAGACAGACAGAUAGAAAGAUCAGUUUGGGAAUUUUUAAGAUUGAUCACUGAAUCAGUUUAUGCUGAUGUUCAUUCUUGAUUGGGAUAUCUAAGUUAUACAAUCAGGAUAGAUUUUUCAUCUCUGUAUCAGAAUAUGAUUAUGCACCAGAGUGUUUGUAUUUGUUAAUGCUGUAAUGUUGCUACAUUUUGAUAUUACACUAUUCAUUUGUGUGUAAAACAAAAAGGGGGAGAUGUAGCAGUCCACUCCUAACUAGGGGCAAGGGGAAAACAGUAUGUGCAGAUUGCUCAGUCUUGGGCAUGCUCAGUAGUGCUCAUGGCUGGGAAGGCCUAUGACCCUUGACCCCAGCUUCUCCCAGGUUAGGCGGGAAAACAGGUUUCUUUGUUCUCACCUGGUUAAGAGAAACCACACCUACGCCUUGUCAUUAACCAAUGAGAAUCAUCCCUAUGUACUGUGUAUAUUUGCAUAUCAAAAACUAUAUCUAGCCCAGCAGGCUCCGCCUUCGCUCUCUCUGCUCUCUGCCCUCUGCCCUCUGCUCUCUGCGCUCCUUCUCUUUCAGGCUACCUGAUGGCUGUCCUUGCAGGAGCUUGGCCUCUGGCCAAGCUCCAUCUUUAAUCUUUCUCUAUUCACCUCUCUGACCUGCGUGGAAUGGAUCUCAGGACUGGAAUAGCCUACUGAAUUGGUCCUUUGAUCAGAGCUUAGCUGUGGCUCAUUGAUAAUUAAUAAAGACUCAUUCUGAACACCUCAUAUCUCUACUAGGACUCCGUCACUUCCCUCGUGGUAUCAAAACUUCUAUCCUGUCUCUAUCUUCCUACCUUGUGGCUUCUCUCACCUCAGAGAGAGCUACAUCCUCCUUCCCCCCUCCCCCAUCCUUAAGAAUUUACUUAUCUUUGUUCCAUUUUCUUAUUCUCCAAGUAAAAUGCAAGUUCCUUGAGGCCAAGGACUACUUUGUAUUCCCAGGGACCAGCAUAAUGUCUUAUACAUAAGGGACAUUUAGCAAAUGUUUGUGGAAGUGGAGAUGUGGAGUCAUACAGAACUGUCUCCAUCCUCAUUCUGGGAAAUGCAUCUCUAUUAACAUUAAGUAAAUUUGUAAUUCCUCCUUUAGCUGCCAGGUUAUCCUGCUGGUCCCUAUUUAGCUUGUGGCCCACUAAGAGCCCCAUAACUUUAUUUAGUAAGAAUUGUUUUCUAAUCAUGCUUCCUCCCUUCUGUACUUGGACAGCUGAUUUUUUUUAACCCAUAUGUAGUACUUUAUACUUGUUCUUUUGAAAUUUCAUCCUAUUAGGUUCAGCCCCUGCUUCCAGCCUAUCAAAAUGGAUCUGACUCUGGUGUUCAGCAUUUUAACUAAUUCUCUCAGCUUCUUGUCAUCUGUACAUUUUGAUAAGCUUGCCACUUUUGCUCAUAAACAUCCAAGUCAUUGAAAUAAAAGGUUAAGCAACCAAGGAUGAAUCUCUGAGACAUUCCAUUCCAUCAAUCCAUGUAUCACUGCUAUUUGGUCACAGAACUGGCCUCUAUUGCUUCAUCUGGUCCAAAUGGACAUCACGACAGUGCAAGACCAUUAAUAAAGAGGUUGCUUGAAUAGCAGCCUCACAGUUUCUCCACAUUCUGUAGGAGGACUAAAUGGCUGGGGCACUGUGAGUCUAGAAGGAUCUCUGAAGGACCCAUGGAAGAACCAGGGAUUUAUAACAAAAUCAGUAUUUCUCUAAGGGAAACCCUGAGUUCGAUUUCUUCCAAAAACUAAUGUGAGGGGCAUCUAGGUAGCAAAAUGCAUGGAGCUGGCCUGGAGUUGGGAGGUCCUGGGCUCAAAUCUGGCCUCAGACACUUCCCAGCUGUGUGACCCUGGGCAAGUCACUUGACCCCAGUUGCUUAGCCCUUACUUCUCUUCUGCCUUGGAACUGAUAAUUAGUAUUAAUUCAUAUGAUUGGUAUUAAUAUAUUAUAUUAGUAUUAAUUAGUACCUGGUAUUACUUCAUUAAUUAAUAGCAAUUUAGUAUUAAUUCUAAGACAGAAGGUAAGAGAUUUUUUUUAAAAAGACUUAAUAUAAGUGCUUUGGGAAUUUUCUGUAGCAAUUCAAGGCUCCUAGGAGGCCUUGAAAGCUUUUGCAUUUUCUCUAGUGUGUUAAAUAAUUGUUUUUUAGUUGUUCUUUCCACAUAUGUUGUUGUAGUUGUGUAUAUUCUUUUCAGUUCUGCUUAUUUUACUUUGUAUCAGUUCAUACCAAUCCUCCAUGCUUUAUUAAGUUUAUUUUAUUUAUGUUGGAGUUGUUUUUUUUAAUGAACAGUCUUAGUAAAGGCUGUUGGAUGCCUGCUUCUCCCUCCUUUCCCCCAACAAGGAUAUCACAAAUUGCCAAAUGCCUUCCUGAAAUCCCCUGACGCUUUAUUUGGGGGCAUUUUUCAUUUCCUACUGCUUGUCAGAAAGGGAAAUGAAAAUAGUCUUGCACAUCCUCUUUGGGAUAAAAUGAUACUUGUCAUGAUACAUUUGUGGUGACCGCCAUAUUGCUUUCUCAAUACUCACUUAGUAAUAGGUUCUAGAAUUUUCCUAGAAAUUAAAGUCAAGUUUACUGGUCUGUUGUUUAGAAAAUUCCACUCCCUUUCUUUUGAAAUUUGGCAUAGUAUGUGUAGCAGUCCAGCCCAUAUGUAUAAUUAAGAAGCAAGGAUUGUAUGUGGGCACAUGGCCAUUCUGCGCAUGGCAAUGAACUCUGUUCCCAGCGUGGCUGGAGUUAGGGCGCGAAACCUUGCUUCCCUUUGUCUCACUCACCUGAGGAUAAAAACUCCCCCUUCACCUUGUCGAAAUUUGCAAUUAUCCAAUGGCAAUACACUAUGUAACUCAUCAAUAUGUAUUGAGACACUGUGUACCUUAUCAAUAUGUAUUGAGUACAUUUGCGUAUCAAAGAGAUUAAAUAGGGAGCCGUGGCCAUCUCUCUCUUCUUGGACAAUCUCACAGGUUUGCUACACUGUCUUUCCACCUUUCUCUCUCCUCUCUAUCUCUACCUGAGGCCUAGCCUUCGGCCAGGUAUCUCUUUCUUUUCCAAUGCUAAUACCUAGCAUUCUCUAAUUCUUCCUAUCAUACUCUAUUCAUUCUCCCAGCUGAGCUAUAUCAUCCUCUGACCAGUGAAGUGUUAAAUUGGGAUCUCUGGACGGAAGAUAGCCUUCCAGUGACAUCCAUUGAUCGGAGCAUGGCUGCGGCUCCAAGAUAUUAAUAAUAACUGAUCUCUGACUCAUUUUUGACAUUCCGAACUUGGCUCCCUCAUGCCCUUUGCAGCAUCCAGAACUUCUAUCCUUUUUCUAUCUUCCUACCUUAAGGCUUCUCGCGGGCUCGGGAAGCUUUAGUAUGUCUGUUUUUGGUCCUGUGACAUUUCUCUCAUCCUCCAAGACCUUUCAAAGACUGUGUCCAGUUCUUUCAGUGCUUGGGGGUGGGGGUGGGGGUCUAGUUCAUACAGACCCUGUGAUUUAAAGGGUUUUGAGGGCACCUUGAUGCUCUCUGACCCAGUUCUCCUCGUUUAUUUGGGAUUCAAUGCCCUAGUAACCAUUUUUUGUUCAACUCUUUCUAGUUAAAAAAAGAAGAAGAAAAGGAAGAAUUGGGUUAAUUCUAAGUCCUUACAAUCAGCUGUUAGUAUCUCAUCCAAUCCACUCCAAUGAAAAGUCUCCUUAAUAUCUUCCACUUUACUUCCUCGUUAGAAUGAUUAACGAUGAACUUAGAACUUGGUUCUUGAACGUCUUCGCUCCCUUUUGGCAGACUUCCCCCUGUAGAAUUUCAGGUCACAGCCUUCUUUCUAUUCAUCCUCCCUCUGACCUCUGAAACCUAUGCAAGACAACUGGGGCUGGCUUUUGCCUCUUUUCUCUUUCACAGAUUCUGGGAUGGCAUCAUCAUGCCCUCCCUGGUGGAUGUUCGUAUUGUAUCUACUUAGGGAACCAGUUUCUUGAUAUUGGUUGGAAUCAAGACUAGCAGCAUAGCUUCCUCCUUUGCUUCCUCCACCACUACAUGUCAUGAGAAGAACUCAAGGCGUUAUCCAUGGUUCUGCUUUUAGAGGAGAAAGAGUUCCAGCAGUUGUGUGGAGAAUGGAAAUCCCCCAUUACUACGAUAGCACGACUCCAUGACAAGACUGGAAGGUAUUUCCUAAGCUCCUCAUCUAUUUCCUCAUUUUGGAUCAGGGAACUAUAGUAUGUUUCUUCAUCACAAAAUUACUUCUAUAUGCUUUCUUAAUUCUUUCCAUCAUUUUUUGCCCUGUUAGCUAAUGGAUUCCUUAUAUGAGUAUAUUUUUUUUUAUUUAAAAUGCUGCUUUUCCACCACCUUCAUCUCAUUGUGGACAUUCAAUAUUAAUAUGCACCCCUUUGUGGCCCCCAAAACAACUCUUUUGAUUUUAAACAAAAACAAUUUUACUUCUGAAACCCUGAAUUAUAUCUCUCUGAGGUGAUGGGUGGAGACCUCCUUCUUCUUGUGUACCAUGAGAGGAGAUGCUAUUGAGUCAUUCCAAAGACUGCACGGUGACUCCAGGAAGACCUGACUCUUGUCUGGACUGAGAUUUGAGUCCUCCAAAUCAGAGAGGCCCAAAUUGGGAAAGGGACUUCACAAGGAGCAAAAUUGGAGAAGGCGAAGGACAUAGAGGCUUCUUGCCUUGGAACUGUGGACUGAGAAGCAUGAAGAGAACACCAGGGCAUGAGGUCUGGCUCAGGGCUGGGGUCAACUGGGAGUGGGCGGGAGCAGUGCCUAAGAAAGUGUUCUGGGGUGAGGAGAAGACUAGCUCCGAGUUAUCUAAUGCAGGUGGGCUCUUAGGGGAAGGUCGCUAAGAGAGAUGCUUUCUCUGGCCCACUUUUGACUAUUUAAUAAAUAAUUAUAAGUUAAGAUAUGGUCUCCAGAGAAUUAUAAUCAUAACACAAUGUAUUCCUUUUGAACCAUCGAUUAGAAAAACCUGGAAAGACUUGUUGUAUCAAGUGAGCAGAACCAAUAGAAUUGAUUUCUCCAGAAAGAACAACAUUGUAGAGGCAAGCAGCUUUGAAAGAUUUAAGAACUUUGAUCAGUUCAGAGAUCAAUUGUGAUUUCAGAGGACCAGUGAUGAAUCCUGACAGAGAAAUGAUGGACUUGAGAUUGCCAAUGAAACAUAUUUUUCAACAUGGCCAAUUCAAGAAUUCGUUUUGUUUUUUUUUACUCUGUUACAAAUUGGUUUGUUUUUCCAUUUUGGGAGAAAGUAGAAGAAACAGAGGGAGUUUAGAAUGGGAUUUCCCCCCUCCCACCCUUAGUCCCCAAAUGAGAAAAAAAGGAGUCACAGACCUGCAGGAUAGCUUUGAAAGUUAAAUGUUGAAUUUAUUAUAAACUUUAAGAGAAAAGCAAAUUCUAUAUAAUAUUUGUGAUUUUAUGGACAAUCCUCUUCCAUUCCAUAACAUAUACAAAAAUGCUCAUUUUAGUUGGCAUUUGCUAAAUGUGAAUAAAAAAUUUUGAUGAAAUGAAAAA